rnacentral:rRNA from 1 species
UUAACCCCUUACCAACAAAGAGCAAUUCUAUACCUCUAUAGAAAAUUUUAUGUUAAAACUAGUAAUAAGAAGUCAGCCCUUCUCUUCAAUGCAAACUUACAUCAGCCAGGACACCCCGCUGAUUUUUAACGUCCCUAAAAACAUUGUAAUAACUAAUCAAGAAAAUAUUACCCACCAUAACGUUAACCUAACACAAGAGCAUUUUAAGAAAGAUUAAAAGAAAAAGAAGGAACUCGGCAAAUAUUAGCCUCGCCUGUUUACCAAAAACAUCGCCUCUUGACUUAUUAUAAGAGGUCAUGCCUGCCCAGUGACUCUGUUCAACGGCCGCGGUAUCCUAACCGUGCGAAGGUAGCGUAAUCACUUGUUCUUUAAAUGAGGACUAGUAUGAAUGGCCCCACGAAGGCUACACUGUCUCCUUUUUCUAAUCAAUGAAACUAAUCUUCUCGUGAAGAAGCGAGAAUAAUUUUAUAAGACGAGAAGACCCUAUGGAGCUUUAAACAACUGAAAUAUUUGCUUUUAUAUUCCAUUCUCCAGAGUUCACUAUUAUAUCCAAGCAUUUUAAUUUCUAGUUUUAGGUUGGGGUGACCACGGAGUAAAAUUCAACCUCCAUGACGAACUAAGCAUUUUUCCUCUAAGCCACAAGCUACCUCUUUAAGCAUCAACAAAUUGACUUACAUUGACCCAAUAUUUUGAUCAACGAACCAAGUUACCCUAGGGAUAACAGCGCAAUCUACUUCAAGAGCUCAUAUCGACAAGUAGGUUUACGACCUCGAUGUUGGAUCAGGGUAUCCUGGUGGUGCAGCCGCUACUAA